GUAGGUGGCAGGCGUUGUCCGGAAUUAUUGGGCGUAAAGCGCGCGCAGGCGGUCCUUUAAGUCUGAUGUGAAAGCCCACGGCUCAACCGUGGAGGGUCAUUGGAAACUGGGGGACUUGAGUACAGAAGAGGAAAGCGGAAUUCCAAGUGUAGCGGUGAAAUGCGUAGAGAUUUGGAGGAACACCAGUGGCGAAGGCGGCUUUCUGGUCUGUAACUGACGCUGAGGCGCGAAAGCGUGGGGAGCAAACAGGAUUAGAUACCCUGGUAGUCCACGCCGUAAACGAUGAGUGCUAAGUGUUAGGGGGUUUCCCGCCCCCCUUAGUGCUGCAGCUAACGCAUUAAGCACUCCGCCUGGGGAGUACGGCCGCAAGGCUG
rnacentral:rRNA from 1 species